rfam:Chlorocebus sabaeus isolate 1994-021 chromosome 24, whole genome shotgun sequence.
AUCACUUCUCGGCCUUUUGGCUAAGAUCAAGUGUAAUUCUGUUAUAUUACUUUUCCGUUGUAUUAUGUUUAAGUUAUUUGGGGAUGUAGGUGGGGUUUAAGUAGAGUAUAUAGUUAACUAUGAUAUCCAAUAUGAGGACAGUCGUGAUUCACUUGCAUUCACGUCAUUCAUUCAUCCAUU